AGAGAUACUGGCGAUGAGGAAGAGGGAACCCAAGAUGGCGGCCGCAAUCUGAACCUUCUCGAUGACUGUCAGAGAGAUAGCCUGCCACUGGGAAGGAGAGAGUGGCAGAAAAAGUACUAUACUUAUAGCAGUACUGAUGGAUGAAUUGAAGGGUGUGGAUCCACCCAAUUCCUGGUCCAGAUCAGGCCACUCAGCCAAGCCUCCCACAAUUGCCACUCCAGACCUGUCUCUCCUUCUGCAUCAUCACCCAGCUUGGCACUUUAUCAUUUUCAAACCUCUGGGAUUUGGGCUGCUCUUACAUAAUCCAUCAAACUGGGCCCAUCAGAGAUGCAUGUGAAAGAUAAUUCUUGCCUCCUCCAAAGAUGGAUUACAUGAGAUCAAGUAUGCCAAGAACUUGACGCAGCCUGGCAGAAGAUUGCAUUGGCUGCUCUAUUGGGAACAGACUGGAGAGACAUAAAGGAAAACACAGGAGACUGUUGCAAUAAUCCAGCUCUAUUCCAACCAUCUCACUCAGAGAACCACCCAUCUCAGUGGCUGUGGAGUUUCCUGCUUGGAGAAAAAGAGCUGACAGAGAAAAGAAAAUCACCAAGAGGUAUCUCCAGGACCCUCCUCCCCAUUGUAUAAUGGAUGAAGUGUCUAUUCUUGGCCUGUAUGAGGCUCUGUAGAGCUCUAACAGUGCAGCCGAUUAGUGGUACGAGGUUCCUCUCAACAUUGUCACCGACUGGUUAUCCAGCCUUGGCCCCCAGAUGAGUAUCCCUUCUUAGGCUAUUCUUUCGCUUUGAGGCAGUUCCAAUCAUUAGAUAGUUCUUCUUGUACUAAGCCAAAUUCUAGUUUUCUGUUCUUUGCAGCCUUUGAUCCCAUCUUCUGGGUGACACAGAAUACGUGUGCUCUCUGCUUCAUGAUAACCUUUAGCUCUUAUGGGCAGGUGGAGCCUGCAUAUGUCUUCUAGCCAUUCUUCAUGUUGCAUGAUUUUAAGUCCCUUGUUAUGACCUCCCUUUUAUUAAUGCACUUAAUAUAUGGUAUAUCUCCCAGAGGGCUUCAUCCUGAACAUCACAGGUGUUAGACUGACAAGAGAGGAAUUCAGAGCUCUCUGACUUCCCUUUUUUGAUUUAAAUGAAUAUAGUCCAAGACCACAUAAAUAUAAUUAAGGGAUGGGAAGGGAGAAGAGGGGAAAUAUCUUUUUAAAGUAAAGUGUAAAGUAUUUGGAAAAUAUUAACAAGAAAACAGAGUUUGACCUAUAAUCCUACCACCUAGAGAUAAACACUACUAAAACUUCAUCUCUCUUAUAAUUCAUUUCCUAUAAAAAUAUAAUUUUAAACUAAAAUUUGGAGUCAAACUCAGGGUACUUACUUGAUUCAUGAGCAUAUCCCAUGUCAUUAAAUAACCUUUGGAAAUACGAUUGAUAGUGAUUCUAUAAUAGUCCAUGCUAUGGCUAGAUCCGACAUAUUUUAGUUAUGUACUUAUUGGUAAACACUCAAGUUUUAUCACAUUUUUAUACUUUAAUAAACAGCCAUAUGAUUAACGUUUUUAGGAGAGAUUUAUAGAUGUAAGAUCAGGAGUCAGUAGAGUAUGAACAUUUGUAAGGUUCUUGCUUCUUCCUGGGAAAUUCCAUUCUAGAAACAUUUAUUGAUUCUCCCCUCCAUAGUGCAUGAACCUCUUCUCUUGUUCCCUUCUGCUCAGCAUUAACCAUUAUAAUACCUUGUAUUGCAAUGAAUUUGUUAGGACCCUUGGUAUAGAUAUUUGUUAGGACCCUUGCUAUUUUAAGUUGUGUCUUUUGAUUAUUUGUAAAGUUGAAAUGGAGUACAAUUGGUUCUUCUUUGUGACUUCCACUGCUUGGGAGGUAAAUAAUAUUUAAUUAUUUUUUUGGUUAUACUCCUUUGAUGAUUAGUAUUAUUACCAGUAUUAUUUAAGUUGCAUUCCUUUGAUUAUUAGGUUCAUUAAAACAGUGUCUAAAUGAA